rnacentral:rRNA from 1 species
CGGCGGAACACGUGAAAUUCCGUCGGAAUCCGGGAGGACCAUCUCCCAAGGCUAAAUACUCCCUAGUGACCGAUAGUGAACCAGUACCGUGAGGGAAAGGUGAAAAGCACCCCGGAAGGGGAGUGAAACAGUUCCUGAAACCGUGUGCCUACAAGUAGUUAGAGCCCGUUAAUGGGUGAUAGCGUGCCUUUUGUAGAAUGAACCGGCGAGUUACGAUUUGUUGCAAGGUUAAGCGGAAAAAGCGGAGCCGUAGCGAAAGCGAGUCUGAAUAGGGCGCAUAAGUAACAGGUCGUAGACCCGAAACCAGGUGAUCUACCCAUGUCCAGGAUGAAGGUAAGGUAAUACUUACUGGAGGUCCGAACCCACGCACGUUGAAAAGUGCGGGGAUGAGGUGUGGGUAGCGGAGAAAUUCCAAUCGAACUUGGAGAUAGCUGGUUCUCUCCGAAAUAGCUUUAGGGCUAGCCUCGAGGUAAAGAGUCAUGGAGGUAGAGCACUGUUUGGACUAGGGGCCCUUCUCGGGUUACCGAAUUCAGAUAAACUCCGAAUGCCAUGUACUUAUACUCGGGAGUCAGACUGCGAGUGAUAAGAUCCGUAGUCGAAAGGGAAACAGCC